rnacentral:rRNA from 1 species
UACUAGAGUAGCACUCGCAUAUCAAUAAGCGGAGGAAAAGAAACUAACAAGGAUUCCCCUAGUAACGGCGAGUGAAGCGGGAAGAGCUCAAAUUUGAAAUCUUAAAGGGUUUCCCUUUACGAAUUGUAGUUUAAAGAAGUGUUUUCUGUUGAGGUUUUGGUAAAAGUUCUUUGGAAUAGGACAUCAUAGAGGGUGAGAAUCCCGUAUUUGACCUUUACUUUCAACUUUGUGAUACACUUUCAAAGAGUCGGAUUGUUUGGGAAUGCAGUCCAAAAUGGGUGGUAAAUUUCAUCUAAAGCUAAAUAUUGGCGAGAGACCGAUAGCGAACAAGUACCGUGAGGGAAAGAUGAAAAGAACUUUGAAAAGAGAGUUAAACAGUACGUGAAAUUGUCAAAAGGGAAGCGUUUGACACCAGUGUUGUUUUUCCUGAAAAUCAAUUAAAGAACUGUUUAUGCUAAGCUGUUUAGACUUUAUCAGCUAAUCUGUUUAGUUUUGAGCUCUUCUUUAAUGCACUUUUCAGUUAACAAGUCAACAUCAAUUUCUUUUCGCUGUAAAAAAGCUUGAGGAAGGUGGCUUGAGAUUCGUCUUAAGUGUUUAUAGCCUCUUGCCUAUGCAGUCGGAGAGAUUGAGGUCUGCAGCGUAGAUCCUUCGGGGCUAAAUGCAUUUGUGCUAAGUUAUAGCAUUUUAUAGACAACUUGUUGACUAUGAUUUGUCUUGUAGCUUACUCGCUUAUGUUAUUUUACCUACGCUUAGGAUGUUGAGUCAUCACACAUCUCU